CGUAGGUGAACCUGCGGAAGGAUCAUUGUCGAAACCUUCGAGCAAAUCAACCCGGGAACGCUUCCAAUAAGAAACCGGGGGAGCGGUCGAGGGGUGCCCCGGAACCGCCACCCCGCCCGCGCGGCCCGGCUCGCCGGGCGGCGCGGGAUCCCUACACAAACCACGGCGCGGCCUGCGCCAAGGAACCGGAACGAGAACGAGCCGCGUCCGCGCGCUCGUCCAUCUUACGAGUCGUAACGACUCUCGGCAACGGAUAUCUCGGCUCUCGCAUCGAUGAAGAACGUAGCGAAAUGCGAUACUUGGUGUGAAUUGCAGAAUCCCGUGAACCAUCGAGUCUUUGAACGCAAGUUGCGCCCGAGGCCGUCAGGCCGAGGGCACGCCUGCCUGGGAGUCACGCACCGCCGCCCCCGAACCCCGUUCGGGGGCGUAGAAUGGCCUCCCGCGGGACUCCCCCCGCGGCUGGCCCAAACAUCGAGUCCUCGGCUUCGGUCGCGGCGACACCCGGUGGCUGUCGAAGAUUCGGCUCCCCGUCGCCCGCGCCCGAGCCGUCGGCACCCGACGCGAACCCAGAGUCGGCCGCGCCAGCGGGACGACCUCGACGCGACCCCAGGUCAGGCGGGACUACCCGCCG
rnacentral:rRNA from 1 species